UACGAAGGGGGCUAGCGUUGCUCGGAAUCACUGGGCUUAAAGGGCGCGUAGGCGGGCUGUCAAGUCUGGGGUGAAAUCCCGCGGCUCAACCGUGGAACUGCCUUAGAUACUGACGGCCUCGAGGGAGAUAGGGGCGAGCGGAACUGUGAGUGGAGCGGUGAAAUGCGUUGAUAUUCACAGGAACUCCGGUGGCGAAGGCGGCUCGCUGGAUCUUUUCUGACGCUGAGGCGCGAAAGCUAGGGGAGCAAACGGG
rnacentral:rRNA from 1 species